AGAACGCGGGGCAUGCUUACACAUGCAAGUCGAGCGGCAGCGCGGGGGCAACCCUGGCGGCGAGCGGCGAACGGGUGAGUAAUGCAUCGGAACGUGUCCUCUUGUGGGGGAUAACCAGUCGAAAGACUGGCUAAUACCGCAUGAGCUCGAGAGAGGAAAGCAGGGGAUCCGCAAGGACCUUGCGCGAGAGGAGCGGCGAUGCCCGAUUAGCUAGUUGGUGGGGUAAAAGCCUACCAAGGCGACGAUCGGUAGCUGGUCUGAGAGGACGACCAGCCACACUGGGACUGAGACACGGCCAGACUCCUACGGGAGGCAGCAGUGGGGAAUUUUGGACAAUGGGGGCAACCCUGAUCCAGCCAUGCCGCGUGUGUGAAGAAGGCCUUCGGGUUGUAAAGCACUUUCGGACGGAACGAAAUCGCGCGGGUGAAUAUCCCGGUGGAUGACGGUACCGUAAGAGGAAGCACCGGUAACUACGUGCCAGCAGCCGGGUAAAUACGUAGGGUGCGAGCGUUAAUCGGGAAUUACUUGGGCGUUAAAGUGUGGCGCAGGCGGGCGUUGGCAAGUCGCAGUGUGGAAAUCCCCG
rnacentral:rRNA from 1 species